GCCGGAGUAGCUCAGCUGGUAGAGCACCGGUUUUGUAAACCGGGCGUCGCGGGUUCGAGUCCCGCCUCCGGCU
rnacentral:tRNA from 1 species